GACUCAGCCUGGUACAAACACAACUAUACGGGCGGUGCAAUACGCCAACACUUAUCCGGACACCACCGAGCUAGCUGACUAUAAAAAACCGAAGCCCGUAUCCUUCCGCCAACUUAACCCAGAUGACUAUUUUUUUCCCUGGCGUCGUCCCCUUCCGCCCACACAUCCUACCAUCUAACCAUGAAAUUUUGCGGCGCCUGGCCGCCAACCCAUGGAGGCGCUCUUGUCCGGCCACCCCCACCGCCAGCCCCGACUGCCCUCCCGGUGGGAAAAGUCGUCGCCUUCCCCAUCUGAACUGGGUCUCCCCGGCGUUGUUUCGAAGAUCGUCGUCCGGUGAGGUUCCGGCGUCUCCGUCGAGGAAAGGCGGCGCGCACGGCGUGCGCUUCAGAUCUGGGAGGGCGGCGGCAGCGCGCAAGCGAGGCUCUGGCCCCGAUGGCGGCGCCCGAGGAGGUCCGGCGCUCCCGCAAGGCCCCUCCUGCAGGGGCUAGCGCGCCCGGCCCACUCCGGCGGCCAGGAAGGGCGGUGCGCACCGCGUGCCCGGCGUCGGAGCUCCAAGAUCGCACGCGCACGAGGCGUCCUACUGCAGCCCAAAGGCUGGUCCGUCAUCGAGAACAGUUCCGGUAGCCUUCCCUUUGUACCCGCUACACGGAAGUGGUCGAGGCGUACCAAGCUUACUCGCCCAAAGCUUCCUCAUACCUUGUUUCUGGAGGAUGAGAAAAAAGCUCAUAUCGUUGAAGUAGAUGGACCAAAUCCUUUUACAGCAGCUGUCCCCCCUCCCUCUCCAGAAGCUGUUGCAGAGGAGGUUAUCUGAAUUUAUAUAAAGUUGCUCAUUGCUUGAUUUUCACAUAUGUUCUGUAGCUAAUUUUGUCACAUAUUGUUUGGUUCUGUGAUGGAUAAUUCAUUGUUUGUGCUAGUUAUAUUGUUCUAUGAGGGGGAGAAUGUUGUGACAGUUUUCACUAACCACCCGUGCUGUAUUGCAUUCCAUUUGUGCUAGUUAAGGGGGUAGUGACCCUAAGAUGGAUGGGCUACAAGCUUUCAGUUAAUUUGUGGGUAGUGGGUGGCCUAAUUUUUAUGGUUCGCAAAUCCUUAAUGUCUUGAUAGUUUCCAGAUACUAACUUGCUGCAUUGUAUGUUUGUAUUGUCAAUUGAUGAAAUCAUGGUUUUAAAUUAGGAGAUCAAAUAGGGGAUACCUGUAUCCACCGUUCUCGAUGCUGUUAAAGAUAAAAUGAAAGCUACAGCCCAGUCCGCAGAUUCCAACCCAGAAAAGCUAAGGAAGAUGUCUAAGUCCAUCGCUUUCCUGAAGGAUGUCCAAACAGCAUUACAUCUUGGUCGUGUUGAGUAAGCCAGAAACUCCUGAGGCUUGUCAUCUUUCCUUCCGAGCUGAUUUCUUAAGGAUCUCAUCUGUGUAUACAUGUUGGCAUAAAGGGCAGCUGUCUGGCCUGGAAGACCGACGAGAUUCUCUCUCUCUUUUUUUUUUUUGUAAAUGUUACUCGUAAAACUUGUAAUAAGAAUAGAAAUAACUGGUGGCUCAGGACUUGAGGUCCGAGAGUGGGAGGUUGGGCGGCACCACAAACUCAAAAAAUAUACUGUAUUCCAUAUGUUCCAUUUCUUAACAUUUCUUAUUGCUGUCGUGGUUUCAUUGAGGUUAACAUUGUACUAGUACAACUAUUUUCCAA